GGCUGGUCUGAAGGUAGUGAGUUAUCUCAAUUAAUUGUUCAUGGUCAGUUACAGAUCAAAAUCCUUGUUCCACUCUUCCACCCACCCUUCUCAUUACUGCACUUAGUCUUUA
ensembl:Y_RNA Y_RNA Y RNA